rnacentral:rRNA from 1 species
GAUGAACGCUGGCGGCGUGCCUAAUACAUGCAAGUCGAGCGAAUGGAUUAAGAGCUUGCUCUUAUGAAGUUAGCGGCGGACGGGUGAGUAACACGUGGGUAACCUGCCCAUAAGACUGGGAUAACUCCGGGAAACCGGGGCUAAUACCGGAUAAAAUUUUGAACCGCAUGGUUCGAAAUUGAAAGGCGGCUUCGGCUGUCACUUAUGGAUGGACCCGCGUCGCAUUAGCUAGUUGGGGAGGUAACGGCUCACCAAGGCAACGAUGCGUAGCCGACCUGAGAGGGUGAUCGGCCACACUGGGACUGAGACACGGCCCAGACUCCUACGGGAGGCAGCAGUAGGGAAUCUUCCGCAAUGGACGAAAGUCUGACGGAGCAACGCCGCGUGAGUGAUGAAGGCUUUCGGGUCGUAAAACUCUGUUGUUAGGGAAGAGCAAGUGCUAGUUGAAUAAGCUGGCACCUUGACGGUACCUAACCAGAAAGCCACGGCUAACUACGUGCCAGCCGCCGCGGUAA